UAAUGAAUGUCUCUCAUGGGGCAUCGCCAAUGAGAAGGUUUUACUUGAUCGUAGUGCUUUGGAGGUUUACUAUGAUUUCAUGAAGAACUUUAAAGACAAGUUUAAGGUGUUUUUUUGAACAAAAAACAUAUCCGCUAUUGAGAUCGGUCUAGGCCCAUCUGGGGAUCUACCAUAUCCGUCUUGUAAUUCGGAGCAUGGUUGGGUUUAUCCAGGUGUUGGUGCAUUCUAG
rnacentral:lncRNA from 1 species